GGCCGCGUGGCCCAAUGGCAAGGCGCUUGACUACGAGUUUUCAACUUGAUAUCAAGAGAUUGCAGGUUCGAGCCCUGCCGUGGUCA